rnacentral:rRNA from 1 species
AUGCCAACGGUCAUCGAGAGGUUCGUGGAAUGGACGGUGUCGUGGCCGCCGAUGUACGGAGAGGCGAAGCUGCUGCUCGUGAUCUACCUCUGGCACCCCAGCACACGGGGUGCGGGGCACAUGUACGAUGGCUUCCUCCAUCCACUGGUGGCGUGGCACGAGGCUGCUUGA